rnacentral:rRNA from 1 species
CCUACGGGCGGCAGCAGUGAGGAAUAUUGGUCAAUGGCCGGAAGGCUGAACCAGCCAUGCCGCGUGAAGGUCAGUGCCCUAUGGGCGUUAAACUUCUUUUGUGCGGGAGCAAUAAUGGUCACGUGUGGCCAGACGAGAGUACCGUACGAAUAAGCAUCGGCUAACUCGGUGCCAGCAGCCGCGGUAAUACGGGGGAUGCAAGCGUUAGCCGGAUUUAUUGGGUUUAAGGGGGGCGCAGACGGCGAUGCAAGCCAGGAGUGAAAGCCCGGGGCCCAACCCCGGGACUGCUCGUGGAAGUGCGUGGCUGGAGUGCAGGAGGGGCAGGCGGAAUUCCUGGUGUAGCGGUGAAAUGCGUAGAUAUCAGGAGGAACACCGGUGGCGAAGGCAGCCUGCUGGACUGCAACUGACGUUGAGGCCCGAAAGCGUGGGGAGCAAACAGGAUUAGAUACCCCGGUAGUC